UAGUCAUAUGCUUGUCUCAAAGACUAAGCCAUGCAUGUGUAAGUAUAAGCUGUAAAGCGAAACUGCGAAUGGCUCAUUAUAUCAGUUAUAGUUUAUUUGAUGGAUGAAGACUACAUGGAUAACUGUAGUAAUUCUAGAGCUAAUACAUGCCUUAAAGCCUGACUUCACGGAAAGGCGGUAUUUAUUAGAUACAGAACCAACUCAGCUCUGCUGAACACCUGGUUGAAUCAUUUUAAGAGAACCGAUCGUUUAUUCGACGAAUCAUUCAAGUUUCUGACCUAUCAGCUUUGACGGUAGGGUAUUGGCCUACCGUGGCGAUGACGGGUAACGGGGAAUUAGGGUUCGAUUCCGGAGAGGGAGCCUGAGAAACGGCUACCACAUCUAAGGAAGGCAGCAGGCGCGCAAAUUACCAAUCCUGACACAGGGAGGUAGUGACAAGAAAUAACAUUGCAGGGCAAUCUGUCUUGUAAUUGGAAUGAGCGAAAUUUAAAUAUCUUCGCAAGCAUCAAUU
rnacentral:rRNA from 1 species